GCUGAGUUUGACAAAGUUGGUUGCUGAAGACGAAUGGUUUUUUAAUCAGUUCACUUUUAUUAUUGAUUGAACUUAACAAAAUCAUAUUCUUUUUUUUCCCUAAAUAUUCAAAAAACGACGUUUUUGUGACACCAAUAGAACAUUUUGAAAGAAGGUAUUCACAUGUAAACAACAUUGAAGUGAUAUUGCACAAUCGCUGCUUCGACCAGAUGUGCUUCUGUUUUUUAAUAUAAAAAUGAUGAAAGUAUAUACUAGUAGAUAUUCAUGUUAUUUUUGCUUUGAAAUUUAACAAUUGCAUUAUUAUUUACCACUCAAAACAUUCUUUUUAGAGAACGUUUACACAAAUUGAAUAAAUGUUUUAUUAUUGCUAGUGUAUGUCGAGUGGUUUCAUGGCGUUUUUUUUUAUUGUUUAUUGUUGGUUUCUUUAUUGUUAUUUUUUUUUGUAACAUGCGUAUCAAUUCUGACCUGUAACCUUAUUCUAGCUACUUUUCUUAAUAUAUACGUACUGUUUCAAAUACGCCCUUCUCACUGUGCAAAUAGUUCCUUGCUACAGUUCGGUAAAACUUGUUUUUAAUAGUCUUAGCACUUGACGAGACACGUUUUAUAUAUACAUGUAAG
rnacentral:lncRNA from 1 species